CUACGGGCGGCUCCAGUAGGGAAUAUUGGACAAUGGGCGGAAGCCUGAUCCAGCCAUCCCGCGUGUAGGAAUAAUGCCCUAUGGGUUGUAAACUACUUUUAUUAGGGAAGAAAAAUCUUGAUUUAUCAGGACUUGACGGUACCUAAGGAAUAAGCACCGGCUAACUCCGUGCCAGCAGCCGCGGUAAUACGGAGGGUGCAAGCGUUAUCCGGAUUUACUGGGUUUAAAGGGUGCGCAGGCGGUAAUAUAAGUCAGUGGUGAAAGCUUCCAGCUCAACUGGGAAACUGCCAUUGAUACUGUAAUACUUGAAUGUGGGAGAGGUAGGCGGAAUACAUCAUGUAGCGGUGAAAUGCUUAGAUAUGAUGUAGAACACCGAUUGCGAAGGCAGCUUACUAGACCAACAUUGACGCUCAUGCACGAAAGCGUGGGGAGCAAACAGGAUUAGAUACCCUCGAGUC
rnacentral:rRNA from 1 species